rnacentral:lncRNA from 1 species
CUUCUAUAAUAUUCUACACUAUUCUAUAAUUUUCCAAAAGUUACACUUUAAUUUUAACAGUAUCCUCAUGUCUUGCAUCUUAUGCAGGUGAUCAUUGGUGGCGGCGGGGGUGGUGGCUUCAUCGGAGGCAGUGCUGCAGCAGCAGCUGCAGCUGAGGAGAAGAAAGAAAAUUGAUGACGACUUGGGAUUCUCACUUUUUGACUAGAUUGGCAUUAUAUAGUAGUACAAUUUUCAGUAGCUCUGCAUCUGAAUGUCUGGUGUUGAACUCUAAAUAGACUCUUAAAACUCAGAAAUCUAUUAGAAUGCCGACUGACUAGAAAGCUAGCUAUAUUUAUUCUCUAAAUCGACUAAAAUCGUAUUAGGCCGAUGAAGAAUAGGACAGAUUGGUCUUACUAGGGACUAUAUGUACCAACAUCCGCUUUUUAUUAUAUGACCAAUAUAUGCUUUUAUACGUUUAUUAUAUGGUCAAGAUGUAGAACCAAGCUUCUGGCUUUGAUGAAAUAGAUAUAUCUUUUCCAUUUCAUAUUUUA